UUCGCCCUUCGGUUGAUCCCGCCGGACCUGACUGCUAUCGGAUUGAUACUAAGCCAUGCGAGUCAUUGUAGCAAUACAAGGCAUACGGCUCAGUAACGCGUAGUCAACCUAACCUAUGGACGGGAAUAACCUCGGGAAACUGAGAAUAAUGCCCGAUAGAACACUAUACCUGGAAUGGUUUGUGUUCCAAAUGAUUUAUCGCCGUAGGAUGGGACUGCGGCCUAUCAGUUUGUUGGUGAGGUAAUGGCCCACCAAGACUAUUACAGGUACGGGCUCUGAGAGGAGUAGCCCGGAGAUGGGUACUGAGACACGGACCCAGGCCCUAUGGGGCGCAGCAGGCGAGAAAACUUUGCAAUGUGCGAAAGCACGACAAGGUUAAUCCGAGUGGUUUCUGCUAAAGGAACCUUUUGUUAGUCCUAGAAACACUAACGAAUAAGGGGUGGGCAAGUUCUGGUGUCAGCCGCCGCGGUAAAACCAGCACCUCAAGUGGUCAGGAUGAUUAUUGGGCCUAAAGCAUCCGUAGCCGGCUCUGUAAGUUUUCGGUUAAAUCUGUACGCUUAACGUACAGGCUGCCGGGAAUACUGCAUAGCUAGGGAGUGGGAGAGGUAGACGGUACUCGGUAGGAAGGGGUAAAAUCCUUUGAUCUAUUGAUGAC
rnacentral:rRNA from 1 species